UGGGGAAUAUUGGACAAUGGGCGAAAGCCUGAUCCAGCCAUGCCGCGUGUGUGAAGUAGGUCUUCGGAUUGUAAAGCACUUUAAGUUGGGAGGAAGGGCAGUAAGCGAAUACCUUGCUGUUUUGACGUUACCGACAGAAUAAGCACCGGCUAACUCUGUGCCAGCAGCCGCGGUAAUACAGAGGUUGCAAGCGUUAAUCGGAAUUACUGGGCGUAAAGCGCGCGUAGGUGGUUCGUUAAGUUGAAUGUGAAAGCCCCGGGCUCAACCUGGGAACUGCAUCCAAAACUGGCGAGCUAGAGUAGGGCAGAGGGUGGUGGAAUUUCCUGUGUAGCGGUGAAAUGCGUAGAUAUAGGAAGGAACACCAGUGGCGAAGGCGACCACCUGGGCUCAUACUGACACUGAGGUGCGAAAGCGUGGGGAGCAAACAGG
rnacentral:rRNA from 1 species